GUCACUUUUGGUCAAGCAUGCCAUGAUUUCCAUAGUAAAAAAACUGCAGCAACUGUAAGAUAAAGAAGAUUGACCUCUCAGCCUCCACUCUUAAUAAGCAAAUAAAAAUACUAUGAUAAACUGUCAGUUUGCAUACUCUGCAAACUAAUACUCAUCUUCUUACUCUUAGAAGAAAAGUGCAAGAGGAUAAUAAUUCACCAGUUAAAGGAGUGUCUCGCUCCAAUUUAUAGGAGGGAGAGGAGGUUCUUUGAAAUACGUAUGCCCGGCGUGAGAUUAAGAAACAACGGUUCAAAUGUUGGUCCGACCAGUUUAUUACAAAUGUUAAUAAGAGAGAUGGGGAAAGGGGAGGACGGACACUAUUAUGGAUUGGGGUGAUGGGGAAGGGAAGGCGAGCGAUAGAAAAGAUAGAAAGAGGCAAGAAUUGCGUAAAGCGGGGAUAGUCACCACCAGGAUCCAGCAGCAGUCCCGUUGCACGACGUUCCGACGGUCCGAGGCCAAAGGGCAGGAGCAGCGAGGCCGGUCUUGGGCAACGAGAGGGUGCAGGUCAGGGAGGAAGCAGCAGGUCUCAGGUAGCAGGGCCAGGGAAGUCCGUCAGCAAACGGUCCGUAGAGAAGGAUCUGAAGGCAGAAAGCUCGUGAGAUCGGAUUGGUCGAGCAGGACCUGUCCUUCGUGAACCCAUGCUGGCUAGACCUGAUCCCCAGUUAUCCUGCAUGUGCCUGCUGCAUGAUCUUCCUCAAGACAAUCUGCUCCAUAAUCU
ensembl:lncRNA